rnacentral:lncRNA from 1 species
UUGUGCCAUUUCUGAUGUCUUUAACAGUUGUUUUGUCUGUGUUUUUCAGGACUAUAUUCCUGUGCGGAUGGAUUAAAAAACUACUCCAGACUGGUAGACAUGACAGAUGUGUAUUGGAAAUGUAAACAUGGACUUAAAACUUUGAUGUGUAGCAAAAAAGUUCAUCGUUGAUGAUAGUGAUUUUCUAAGCUAUAUUGACUGGAACAGGGUCAUUCUUCAGAAAUACAGGGCUGUCAAUGCUGCAAUUUUGUUGUGAAAGUCACAAUCCAUGUCAGAAGUUGCUUGUUUUUCUAAACAGCAAAGAAGAAGAAAUUGUACUGGGCCGACACCUAUAUGGGAAAUAGUUAAUUUUGAAUAUCCAGCAACCAAAGGGUAUAUAGCAAUGAAACUUCACACACUAGUAGCUGAUAACAAUAAAAACCAGUGGCUAAAAGGAUUUUAUCAAGGUGAUGAAUCCCAUGGGUUGGUAGAAACUUAGAAUGGUACCACCAGUCACCAACACCCCCUAGACCAGAGCAAACUAUCGAGUCGUGUGGACAGAAGCUGCAGUUUCCAGCGUAGCACUGUAUAGUAGCUGCUCUUAUUGCCGAUCCAGCUGUCGUGGUCGAAGUUCGGGUUUCUUUGGGCAGCCCCUAUCCAGCUGGUCUUCAUUUACAGCUGAACUACAUCCAGGAUCGGUUGCAGCCUUAGAAGGAAGAAGAU